CCCUUAGGCGACCUAGGCGGCCGCCUAAGGCCCCGGCCCGAAGGAAGGCCCACCACAGGGCGUAGCUGAAGGAAGAGCUACAAUAAAAUUUUGAAUUUUCAGCGGAUCCAACGGUUCGAUCGUCCUCGCAUCUAAUGAACUCAGCAAAACCCUAGCUCGCCGGGAGUUCUAUAUUUAUUUUAUCCGACUCGCAUGAGAUAAAAAGGCCUUCUACGACGCCGCUGCUUGCUUUCUUCGCUGAGGUCGGCUUCCGAUACCCUAGCAGUACAAGCCCAACAUCCCCUACGAAAUGGACUGGCGCCGAAGAAGGAGAAGGCUCCUCCCCCGUCUUCCAGGCCGGCCAAAUCCGGUGGAGGGAAGCAGAGCUGCAGAAGAAGAAGGUAAUGCAAUAUGGUUUCAGGUUAGUGUUUGGGAAUCGGCAGGUUUUGACGUUAUUUUGGCUAACUAGGGUUUGGAUUGCAAAAGAAUCUUUGGAUUGUUCUACUGAAAGCAACAAAGUUUAAAUUUUGGUGGGAUUUUGUUUAAAUAGGGAACAUGGAGGCGGGAGCGGCUUUGAGUUUGCAAUCCUGUUCUUAGAUCGGAUGCGAGAAGGCUGGGAAGAAAUCUGGAGGGUUCUUGCUGUUCUCGAGGGGAUGUGGGGAGAAGAAGAUGUUUCAGAUUUAUUUAAUAAUCGCCCUUAUGCUUUUUUUUUUUGGUAAUUUGUUUCUUAGCAUCAGCAUUGCAUUCCCCUGUUUCUUAGUGCUGCGUGUAUGUAUGUAACUUAUCUGCUCUUUAUGUUUCUGGCUUGGAUUUAUGGCCUUGAGACACAUGUUAGCCAUGCCUUUGCAUAUGGAAGCUCUAUAUUGAUGUGAAGUAGCCAAUAUAUUGAUGCCUUGAGACACAUGCUGAACAGCAGUGCUGUUGCUGGUGCAUAAAUUUUUUCUUGUCUAUCAUGAGAUGAAGAUAGAAAAUUGUUUACUUCUUUAUGAGAAGAAGUGCAUUAUAGAUGUUGCUUCCAGCUAAUUUAUAGAAGAGUCAUGUAUUUUUAAAUUGAACUAUUCUGUAAUGUAUUCCCAUUACCUUUUCUCUGCUUGUGUUGGUUAUGGAUACACAAGAACAAAAAAGAAAAAUCUCAUUGCAA